rnacentral:rRNA from 1 species
AGCGAACGCUGGCGGCAGGCUUAACACAUGCAAGUCGAACGGGCGUAGCAAUACGUCAGUGGCAGACGGGUGAGUAACGCGUGGGAACGUACCUUUUGGUUCGGAACAACCCAGGGAAACUUGGGCUAAUACCGGAUAAGCCCUUACGGGGAAAGAUUUAUCGCCGAAAGAUCGGCCCGCGUCUGAUUAGCUAGUUGGUGUGGUAACGGCGCACCAAGGCGACGAUCAGUAGCUGGUCUGAGAGGAUGAUCAGCCACAUUGGGACUGAGACACGGCCCAAAACUCCUACGGGAGGCAGCAGUGGGGAAUAUUGGACAAUGGGCGCAAGCCUGAUCCAGCCAUGCCGCGUGAGUGAUGAAGGCCCUAGGGUUGUAAAGCUCUUUUGUGCGGGAAGAUAAUGACGGUACCGCAAGAAUAAGCCCCGGCUAACUUCGU